CAAUAGCGUAUAUUAAAGUUGUUGCGGUUAAAAAGCUCGUAGUUGGAUUUCUGCCGAGGACGACCGGUCCGCCCUCUGGGUGUGUAUCUGGUUUGGCCUGGGCAUCUUCUUGGAGAACGUAGCUGCACUUGACUGUGUGGUGCGGUGUCCAGGACUUUUACUUUGAGGAAAUUAGAGUGUUUCAAGCAGGCGUGCGCCUUGAAUACAUUAGCAUGGAAUAAUAAGAUAGGACCUUAGUUCUAUUUUGUUGGUUUCUAGAGCUGGGGUAAAGAUUAAUAGGGAUAGUUGGGGGCAUUCGUAUUUAACAGUCAGAGGUGAAAUUCUUGGAUUUGUUAAAGACGGACUACUGCGAAAGCAUUUGCCAAGGAUGUUUUCAUUGA
rnacentral:rRNA from 1 species